GACGAACGCUGGCGGCGUGCCUAAUACAUGCAAGUCGAACGAGAGCGACCGGUGCUUGCACUGGUCAAUCUAGUGGCGAACGGGUGAGUAACACGUGGGUAACCUGCCCAUCAGAGGGGGAUAACAUCCGGAAACGGAUGCUAAAACCGCAUAGGUCUUCGAGCCGCAUGGCUUGAAGAGGAAAAGAGGCGCAAGCUUCUGCUGAUGGAUGGACCCGCGGUGCAUUAGCUAGUUGGUGAGGUAACGGCUCACCAAGGCCGUGAUGCAUAGCCGUCCUGAGAGGGUGAUCGGCCACAUUGGGACUGAGACACGGCCCAAACUCCUACGGGAGGCAGCAGUAGGGAAUCUUCCGCAAUGGACGCAAGUCUGACGGAGCAACGCCGCGUGAGUGAAGAAGGUUUUCGGAUCGUAAAACUCUGUUGUUAGAGAAGAACAAGUGCUAGAGUAACUGUUAGCGCCUUGACGGUAUCUAACCAGAAAGCCACGGCUAACUACGUG
rnacentral:rRNA from 1 species